GGGGUGGAGACUGCAAACCCAGGUGCAAAAUCAGGGCCACGGAGAGGUGCCAACAAGGAAUUAGUGAAAGGGAGGCAAAUACUUGCUUCCAGAGGAAUCGAAGAAAGGCUUUGUGGUCUAUACACUGCACCAUAAAAGACUAUCCAAGGGCAGAGAGGGGACGAGUGUUCUAUACAGAACGUACUGCAGAAGCAAAGGUGGGGAAUAAAGACGCUCACCUGCGAAAUCAGCCCGGAGCUCUGGAAUACAAUACCCGCCCUGAGUGUUAUCAGACGGAUGGCUUUGCUGCGGGCCUGCUCAGUGUGCCAAGAAUGCAGAUGUCUUGUGCCGCCCUCUCCUGCCGACUGGAUGACUCCACAAUCAGGCGUUCAGGAAAGCCAUCAAGCCAUAAGGACAGAGGAUGAGCAGGUAGCGAUGCAGGAGGUGAGGUCGGAGACCUGGGAAGAGGAGUCCAUGCCGGCUCCGUGCAGCUCGGGACACAUGCUAGGACCUCAGUAAGCAUUUACUGAGUGAGCAAAACGAAUGGAUGAAUCAGAUCAUCGAAACUGGAAGCUCUUCGCAGCGCACAUUUGAAUGGGGGCGUUUGUGCAGCCACCGGCUCCAUUAACCCGACAUGCCGAUGUGAUUAAUGUUGCUUUCUGCAGAAGUCUUGGCCUGAAAAUCUCAACGCUGAACACCUGAAGGAAAAAAAAAAAAGCCCACUGGCAAAGCUUUCUUUUCCCAGUGGGAGACUCCCAGCAACGUUGCCAGUAUCCUGGGGCCAAUACCUUUCUGACGUUGCAAUAACUCCCAAGUGAAACAAAUUGCCCACGAGUUUAUAAGCUUCUUGUUCGUUGGAUGGAUUCCUCCGAGUGCUCUGUUGGCUUCACUCUCCCCACGCACAUGCCAGUGAGUUCCACUGACAAUUCGUGUGCCUGCAAGUUCGCGCUGCGGCAGAGGCAGGCUGGCAUUUCCGAGUUAGCAUCUGCUCUGUGAUCUAUGAUCUACGGUUCCCACUCCCUCCUGCCUUCACUUUGAACUGAAGUGCUGCGUUAAGCAACCCCACUACCCACCGCCGAGCAAGCCGGGACCUGAGUCCUGACGAGUGCUAUCCCAGGUUAACCAGUAACCCCAGUAUUGCCACUGCCGGGUAAUGAUAGCCACAGUGAACUGAAUGAAGUGACCAUGGUGGCAAGGAUCAAGCUUGGCACGGGAGCUGGCCAGAAGGUUUAACCAGAGGGGGCCCUGGGGGACCCCGUGGGAAGCUAACGUGGAGAAUGGGCAUUUGGUUGUGGCCGCGCGUUUACACAGCAGACACUGAGAUGGAGAAGCGGUAGAGAAAGCAUAGCUGUCACCUGAGCAAAGAUCAGUUUGAUCCUUUGGGGUAAAAAUGCACCUGGGAAAUUAAAUUGUCAGAGUUCCCACGGUGGCUCAGUGGUAACAAACCCGACUAGGAUCCCUGAGGAUUCGAGUUUGGUCCCUGGCCUCGCUCAGUGGGUGAAGGAUCCUGCGUUGCCGUGAGCUGUGGUGUAGGUCGCAGACAUAGCUCAGAUCUGGCGUUGCUCUGGCUGUGGUGCAGGCCGGCGGCUGCAGCUCUGACUCCACCCCUAGCCUGGGAACCUCCAUAUGCCAUGGGUGCGGCCCUGAAAAGAGCAAAAAAAAAAAAAAAAAAAAA
rnacentral:lncRNA from 1 species